GGGUUGAGCCGAUGGGAUCAGCUGAGAAAGAGAAUUGUCUAUCUAUCUGACUCUGAGAAGAGAAAACCCGGGGUUGUAAUGACAGUCCUGAUAGACAUCAGCAGGAAUCGAGUUACAGCUGGGAACAGGGUAAAGAGGACAGCAAGAGACACGAUUGUGUUUGUUGGAGUACUAGCAGUGUGACCGUGACAGCAGCAGCUGGAACAUGAGAUCCUCUCACCUCCCCUGUGGACAAACAGGCAGCAGGGAUGAAAGACAAGCCUCUGUGUGGAACAAGACAGGGACUCUCCCUCGUACUACUUCUCUCUGUGUUGCUCUGUCUCUGGAUUCAGGUGAUUCUUAUCUAAUGUCAGAACGGGUCUCCCAAGACAGAAAAAAAAGGGAAACGUGAGGUGAAAAAGGGGAAUGGUGAGAAUGUUGACAGUUCUGGAAGGUUUCCAUUGUGUUCAUGUCCACAUAAAUACACAGGAGAGUGUGUUGGUUUUUUCUUGGUAUAUUGUAUAUGGGAGAAGAUAUGGUGUUUUCAGCAACUGUUGUCUGUGCAAUGUCCUUUGAUGAGGUUUGACAUUUUCAAAGCAAUGUAUAAGACAUAAAUAACUUAUGUGAGUCCCACUCAAGAAUGACUCAAAAUAA